GCGGUUGCUUCAGCAGUGCAUAUACUAAAAUUAGAACGAUACAGAGAAGACUAGCACGACCCCUGCCCAAGGGUGACACGCAAAUUCAUGAAGCAGUCCAUAUUUUU
ensembl:snRNA U6 U6 spliceosomal RNA